GUCUAUGACCAUGCCACCCUGAACAUUUCCAAUUCCAUCUGAUCUUGGAAGCUAAGCAGGGUUGGGCCUGGUUAGUACUUGGAUGGGAAGCCACCUAGAAAGACCAAAUGCUGUAGGUG
rnacentral:rRNA from 1 species